CUGAUAUAUUGCAAGUUUUUAAACAGUGUCUCAUGAAUAAGUAUAUAUUGAAGUAGUCUAUGAGCAAAUUAAUUUUUUAAGGAAAGGAGAGCCCUACACUGCACGUCAGGAACUUGGAAAAUGAUUAACCCAGCCCUCUGUACCUGAAGUCAGAUAGGACAGAAGCAUAGAGCGGAGAAGUGAAAGAGAGGAAUAGCGGAGGUGAGGAGGGCUCUGGCAGUAGCGGAGGAAGCGGGGUCCUUGUCUCCUCCUGAGCGAGGGGAGCCUCUGGAGUGAGGUUCUGUCUGCGUGGAGACCAGAAGGAUGGAGGACGUUCCAGACCGGGCUUCCGGGAAGGCCAGAAGCAGAGCUGAGACACUAGCAGGAAAGCGCGUCGCCUGCCGCAGGAGGGCCAGGUGGACAGAAUCAGGGAAGCCACCACCCGCACAGUCACCUACAGAGAUCACCCGGAGUAGAACGUGGCCACCAGCGUCUGCGUGGGAGCCUGCGGUCAAAAUGCGAGGGAUGGAGUUAAAAGCUCUUUACUAAACCAAGCACACAGACAAGCAGGUAAGUUCUACCAACAAAAGUAUUUUCUGAAUCAAAGGUGAACUCAAACCAACCAACAGAAGCCUUCACUCCUAUGCAGAAAGCUG
rnacentral:lncRNA from 1 species